rnacentral:rRNA from 1 species
CGCUGCUCGGCGUGCUUAACACAUGCAAGUCGAACGAUGAAGCCCAGCUUGCUGGGUGGAAGAGUGGCGAACGGGUGAGUAACACUGUGAGUAACCUGCCCUGAACUCUGGGAUAAGCACUGGAAACGGUGUCUAAUACUGGAUACUGACCUAUCACCGCAUGGUGUGUGGGUGGAAAGAUUUAUCGGUUCUGGAUGGACUCGCGGCCUAUCAGCUAGAUGGUGAGGUAAUGGCUCACCAUGGCGACGACUGGGUAGCCGGCCUGAGAGGGUGACCGGCCACACUGGGACUGAGACACGGCCCAGACUCCUACGGGAGGCAGCAGUGGGGAAUAUUGCACAAUGGGCGCAAGCCUGAUGCAGCAACGCCGCGUGAGGGAUGACGGCCUUCGGGUUGUAAACCUCUUUUAGUAGGGAAGAAGCGAAAGUGACGGUACCUGCAGAAAAAGCACCGGCUAACUACGUGCCAGCAGCCGCGGUAAUACGUAGGGUGCAAGCGUUGUCCGGAAUUAUUGGGCGUAAAGAGCUCGUAGGCGGCUUGUCGCGUCUGCUGUGAAAACCCGGGGCUCAACCCCGGGCCUGCAGUGGGUACGGGCAGGCUAGAGUGCGGUAGGGGAGAUUGGAAUUCCUGGUGUAGCGGUGGAAUGCGCAGAUAUCAGGAGGAACACCGAUGGCGAAGGCAGCUCUCUGGGCCGCUACUGACGCUGAGGAGCGCAAAGCAUGGGGA